rnacentral:rRNA from 1 species
GCCACGCCCGCUCAAGAAACUCAAGGAAUUGACGGGGCCCGCACAAGCGGAGGAGCAUGUGGUUUAAUUCGAUGAUACGCGAGGAACCUUACCUGGGCUCGAACGUAAGAUGACUGUAGGUGAAAGCUUACAUCUCUUCGGAGCAUUUUACGAGGUGCUGCAUGGUUGUCGUCAGCUCGUGCCGUGAGGUGUCGGGUUAAGUCCCAUAACGAGCGCAACCCCUGCCUUUAGUUGCCAUCAGGUUAAGCUGGGGACUCUAAAGGAACUGCCUACGCAAGUAGUGAGGAAGGCGGGGAUGACGUCAAAUCAGCACGGCCCUUACGUCCAGGGCUACGCACGUGCUACAAUGGCCGAUACAGAGGGCAGCUACCUGGUGACAGGAUGCAAAUCUCCAAAGUCGGUCUCAGUUCGGAUCGGAGUCUGCAACCCGACUCCGUGAAGUUGGAUUCGCUAGUAAUCGCGCAUCAGCCAUGGCGCGGUGAAUACGUUCCCGGGCCUU